GGUCUGCCCUAUAGAUCAUCCUGUACCAGAGAUCUACAGCAUAAUGGCCUGGAAGCAGUCUUUGUUUUGGAGCCAAGCCCAGCAAAGUCUCAAUUCCUUCCCCUUCAAUCGCCAUCUGGAUGAACAAGGCCAAGUCAUUGACCUUCUCUGGGCCUCAGUUUCCUCACCCAUAAACUGGAGCAAAGUCAUCUCCAAGACAGCAGGAACCAUGUUUACUCUUUAAUCAUUGUAUGCUCCCUAAAUAUUUGCUGAACAAGUGAACAAAAAACCUGGUGGUGGUGAAAUUAGACUCCUUCUUGGUGUCACCAGGAGGUCCAGUUAAACAUACCAAGACUUGAGGAAUUAUGUCCAAGGUUCCAGCAUUGAACAUGAAGAACGCAGGAUUUAUUGGCACGUCGUGAUAACCGUAAAGCCCACGCUUCUACUGCAGUGUUGAGUUUGCGUGCCCUUGGGACAGAAGACAGAAUAGCCAACAGGAAAGAAUUCUGCAUGGGAGUCAGAACAUUUGUAUUAAAGACCUGAUUUUACUGGGCAACAGAGCGAGACCUUGUCUCUACAAAAAAUAAACAAAACUAACCAGGCACAGUGGUGUGCACCUGUAGUCCCAGCUACUUGGGAGGCUGAGGCUAUUGGCAGGAGAUCUUCCCAGAAGAAAAAGAAUGGAG
rnacentral:lncRNA from 1 species